AUUGAACACUGGCGGCAUGCUUUACACAUGCAAGUCGAACGGUAACAGGCCGCAAGGUGCUGACGAGUGGCGAACGGGUGAGUAAUGCAUCGGAACAUGCCCAGUCGUGGGGGAUAACUACUCGAAAGAGUAGCUAAUACCGCAUACGAUCUAUGGAUGAAAGCGGGGGACCGUAAGGCCUCGCGCGAUUGGAGCGGCCGAUGUCAGAUUAGGUAGUUGGUGGGGUAAAGGCUCACCAAGCCAACGAUCUGUAGCUGGUCUGAGAGGACGACCAGCCACACUGGGACUGAGACACGGCCCAGACUCCUACGGGAGGCAGCAGUGGGGAAUUUUGGACAAUGGGCGCAAGCCUGAUCCAGCAAUGCCGCGUGCAGGAAGAAGGCCUUCGGGUUGUAAACUGCUUUUGUACGGAACGAAACGGCUCUGGUUAAUACCCGGGGCUAAUGACGGUACCGUAAGAAUAAGCACCGGCUAACUACGUG
rnacentral:rRNA from 1 species